rnacentral:rRNA from 1 species
CCUGGCGGCCAUAGCGCCGUGGAACCACCUGAUCCCAUGCCGAACUCAGAAGUGAAACGCGGUAG